CACGCCGUAAACGAUGAAUGUUAGCCGUCGGGCAGUAUACUGUUCGGUGGCGCAGCUAACGCAUUAAACAUUCCGCCUGGGGAGUNGCGCAGAACCUUACCAGCCCUUGACAUCCCGGUCGCGGAUUACAGAGAUGUAUUCCUUCAGUUAGGCUGGACCGGAGACAGGUGC
rnacentral:rRNA from 1 species